UUUCCGUAGGUGAACCUGCGGAAGGAUCAUUAUUGUAUAACCGAGGUGCGAGGGCUGUCGCUGACCCGACAGGUCGUGCACGCCCGAGUGCCCUGACACACAUCCAUCUCACCCCUAUGUGCACCACCGCGUGGGUCCCCCUUUGGCGUGUUCGGAGGGGGGCUUACGUUUUCACACAAACUUUGUAUGCAGUGUAGAAUGUAUUUUUUGUUUUUGCGAUCACGCAAUCAAUACAACUUUCAACAACGGAUCUCUUGGCUCUC
rnacentral:misc_RNA from 1 species